ACACGUAGGGGGCGAGCGUUGUUCGGAAUCAUUGGGCGUAAAGGGCGCGCAGGCGGCGAGGCAAGUCCGGUGUGAAAGUGCUCGGCUCAACCGAGUGAUGCGCUGGAAACUGCCCUGCUUGAGUACAGGAGGGGACGUCGGAAUUCCAGGUGUAGGGGUGAAAUCUGUAGAUAUCUGGAAGAACACCGGUGGCGAAGGCGGACGGCUGGCAAUGUACUGACGCUGAGGAGCGAAGGUGCGGGGAGCGAACAGGUUUAGAUACCCUGGUAGUCCGCACAGUAAUCGAUGUGCGCCAGGUGGCGGGGGGUAGCCCUCGGUACCGAAGCCAACGCAUUAAGUGCACCGCCUGGGGAGUAUGCUCGCAAGGGUGAAACUCAAAUGAAUUGACGGGG
rnacentral:rRNA from 1 species